rnacentral:rRNA from 1 species
GACGAACGCUGGCGGCGUGCCUAAUACAUGCAAGCCGAGCGAAUCAAUAGGAGCUUGCUCCUGUUGAUUAGCGGCGGACGGGUGAGUAACACGUGGGCAACCUGCCUGUAAGACUGGGAUAACUUCGGGAAGCCGGAGCUAAUACCGGAUAAUUCUUUUCCUCUCAUGAGGAAAAGCUGAAAGUCGGUUUCGGCUGACACUUACAGAUGGGCCCGCGGCGCAUUAGCUAGUUGGUGAGGUAACGGCUCACCAAGGCGACGAUGCGUAGCCGACCUGGGAGGGUGAUCGGCCACACUGGGACUGAGACACGGCCCAGACUCCUACGGGAGGCAGCAGUAGGGAAUCUUCCGCAAUGGACGAAAGUCUGACGGAGCAACGCCGCGUGAGCGAUGAAGGCCUUCGGGUCGUAAAGCUCUGUUGUUAGGGAAGAACAAGUAUCGGAGUAACUGCCGGUACCUUGACGGUACCUAACCAGAAAGCCACGGCUAACUACGUGCCAGCAGCCGCCGUAA